UUACAUGAGGGGGGUUGUGGAAGACAAGGAUUUUGUGAUGUAGAUGAAGCCUCCAGGUAGCAGGCUUAGAGAGAAUGGAUGGUAAAUGUCUCUCUGUUUUGUUUUGUUUUUGUUUUGAGACAGAGUCUCGCUCUGUCACCAGGCUGGAGUGCAGUGGCACAAUCUAUACUCACUGCAACCUCGGCCUCCCAGAUUCAAGCGAUUCUCCUGCCUCAGCCUGCCAAGUAGCUGUAAUUACAGGCACCUGCCACCCAGCCGGGCUAAUUUUUGUAUUUUUAGUAGAGACGGGGUUUCACCAUGUUGGCCAGGCUGGGGUAAAUGUCUCAUAUCAGAGAUUAAAAGCUGUCGGACCCUCCAGAGAAGACGUGAUGAGGGAAGAGGAUUGAUAUGGUUUGGCUGUGUCCCCACACAAAUCUUCCCCUGAAUUGUAGCUCCCUUAAUUCCCAGGUGUCUUGGGAGGGACGUGGUGGGAGGUAAUUGAAUCCUGGUGCAGGUUUUUUCCAUGCUGUUCUAAUGAGAGAGAGUAAGUCUCACGAGAUCUUAUGGUUUUAGAAAGGGGAGUUUCCCUACACAAACCCUGUGUUGCCUGCCACCAGGGAAGGCGUCCCUUUGCUGUGUCUUCAUCUUCCACUGUGGUUGCGAGGCCUUCCCCAGCCAUGUGAAACCUGACGGGAUUUCACCAUGUUGGCUGGUGUUGAACUCCUGACCUCAAGUGAUCCACCCACCUCGGCCUCCUAAAGUGCUGGGAUUACAGGUGCCCCUGGCUUCAGAGAAUCACACUUCUCCGUGCCACUAAAUUCAGACACCACCAUGGACUGCAAAUUUGAGCAGAAGUGAGGUGUGUCACUUGCUAUCAGAAGCCUGGGUCAUGGUUGCACUUGGAGAACAAAAUUUUUUGAAAAUAUUUAAGUUCUGGGAUACAUCUGCAGAACGUGCAGUGACGGGAUUUCACCAUGUUGGCUGGUGUUGAACUCCUGACCUCAAGUGAUCCACCCACCUCGGCCUCCUAAAGUGCUGGGAUUACAGAAUUCAAGGUCCCUGAUAAGACAUCUUUGAGGUCAGGCAUAAAUCAUCACUUCACAUCUUCACGGCAAUGCAAUGAAGACAAGUAUCUGCCUCCUCGGGUCUGUCUAACAAGGAGCAAAGCCUGGCCUCCCACCAGCAUCCAGGCAAUAGUGGAUUCCCUUUCCUUAGAUGUCAGAAAAGAAACAGAUGCUCCUGCAGGUGAAAUGAGCUUUGGUCCACGGUGUAACACAGGCUGUGCAGAAAAUCAAAGAGGAAUCGACCCAGAAGUUUCCCCAGGACAAAUCCUUCAGGGGGAAAAG